AUUUAGUUUUAUUUUAUUUUUAAUAUCCAAUGCUGUCCAAAUUGCUCCAAAAUCCAAACCCCAAGUUUAUUGAGUACCCAGGAAACCAAGUGUGAAGUAGAUUGGAUGAACGACACACACACACACACACACACACACACACA